rfam:Macaca mulatta chromosome 12, whole genome shotgun sequence.
AAAAAGGUUUUUUUAAAAACCUCCUACAUUGUAUAAUGAUAGAAAU